AUUCUUUGUCUUGCCUUAUAAAUCUUAGAAUUAGUUUGUAUAUUCUUUAGGAAAUAGCUUAUGAGAUUUUCUUCUGAGAUUUUAAUUGGGAUUGAACUAAAUCAAGUUGUGAAGAAAUGACAUCUUACUGAGUCUUCAAAUCCAUGAACACAGAAUAUCUUGCCCUUUUAAAGAUAAAGAAAUUGAGAUGAUCACAGGGAUCACUGGAUUCUCAUUGGCUCUCACAGAUAAAGAAACAUCACAAAACUAAGAAGGUGGACUCAGUUUUAGUUCACUCACUCUGGAGAAAGGCGAGGAAGAGAUCUUCAUCAUUGGCUCAACCUCUCUGCUCCUCCGUCCUCAUCAGCCGUUUCUUCCCCAGGGCUUCUCCUGCCUCAGGAUCACUGGGAGCUUGUUACAAAGAUGGAUUCCUAGAGUUGGUCAGACCAACUGAAUCUGGUCUUCUGGGGGUUGUGUGGGGUUGGUUUGAGAGAAUCUACAAUUUAAACAAGCUCCCCAGGUGACAUUUUCCCCACAAUAA